CUCCCGUCUCUCCCCAAUCCCUCUUCUCCCCCAAUCCCCACUCUUCAUGCCUCCACGCACACCGCCGUCGACCCAUCGUCACCGUCCACCUCUACUGUCGCCGGCCUACCCAGCCAAGCCCCUCCCUCGCUGCUUCUCUCUCUCCCGCAGAUCUCCCUCUCUCUUCUCCCUAGAAUUCCUUUCUCCCUCGGAUUCCCAGUUGCGCCGCGUCCGCAGCCGCUGCACCACCUCCAGCUACAGGCGUAGCUACCCCCCAAUGGUCCCCAGCCCCUCCACCGAAGCUAUCCCUCUCUCUCACUGUCGAUCUGCUUUUCCUCGGAUGGGAAGCGACAAGGACGAAGAAAACUUCCUCUCACCGAGGACCAACACUAGCGUAUACGAAGAAAACAUUUCACUCGCUCGGAGUGUUCUUACAAAUGGGUUGGAUUGGGUCUUGCAUAUUUCUGGCCUCUUUUCCUAUUUGGAUAUUUCUCGUUUGGUGGAAGCACGAUUAUUUGCAUUUUCCAGAAGCUUUAUUUUCAAAUUGAGCAUGAUGUUGGGAUGGACUCGAUCAAAUUGAAAGCUUUGAUAGCCCUUUUUGAUGAAAUUGUGGAAGAACCACUUUUCAAUCAGCUGAGGACAAAGGAGCAGCUUGGGUAUGUUGUUCAAUGUAGCCCACGAGUGACAUACCGUGUUUUUGGGUUUUGUUUUGUUGUUCAAUCUUCCAAGUACAACCCGGUCUAUUUGUAAGGGAGAAUUGACAACUUCAUAAACAACUUGGAAGAAUUACUGGUAAGCAAUUCAAGUUCAUUCCUUGUACAUUCUCCUUAGCAUAUUUACUACUUAUAUGUUCCAACAUGUCUGCUGAGAAGUUGCAUCAUAUAUCUGGCUAUCUGCAGCGUUUUGGUGGCCUCUAGUGACAGAUAGUGGCAUUUCAUUUAGCAGUUGCAUUAAGCAGUACCUAGUUUUGUUCAUACAUUUUGGAAAUCUCAGUAAUGUCCGAGUUGUUAAGAUACUUGUUCUUCAUCCUACAAACUUCUCUUUCCAGGAAUCUUUCAUUUGCUUCGAAUAUUGAGCUGGAUCCCACUCUGGUGUUAAAUCCCACUGCAGGGAAAGGAGAAAAACAUAUAUAAGAAGAACAUAAUAAUGAAGGAAAAAAUAAAUAAUAUACUAAAAAAAAGUGCAGCAGUAGAGAGAGAGAGCUAGCUAUUCAUUGCAUUUUGCUUGUUAUAUAUUCUACAUGACUUAAAAUUCUUCCGUGUAUGGCUUUCCUUUUUCUCCUUCUUUCAGUCUCCUUUAAUGCAAUAAAGACAUGAAUUCUUACCUGCCAUUUGCUUCCCAUGAAAGAUAACGUACUAGGAUUUUUAACCUGAUGAAGGAUUGCAAGUAGGAUGACCUUAUCUCCAGGUUUCGGAGAUAACCUAUGCAGUGCCCACCCGAUUACGCUUGUAUAACUUUUGUUGAUGCAUCCUGGAUCACCACCACCCUCUGAGCUUCCAUGGAAAUGAUUUAGGAAAAAGGGUCAUGCCCCUACUGAUAUCCUUUUUACUUCAAAUAACCCAACUCUUUAACUCAUAAAACCAAAGUGUCAAUUGAUUUUUACCAUUCAGGUCACAAGAGUUAUAAUGUUUUGAAGUAGCGAGUCACCUUUUUACUUGUUUUGUUUACUUCCAUAUUGCUUUGUGUGUUUAUGGGGGUGUAUUACUGUUUUUUCCUUGGCCUUCUCAAUCGAUAUUUAUACUUCUUAAUUUUGAUUCUCUGGCUGCUAGUGCUGUUUUCCAGUGAUGGUUUUGCCAUGCAAUUUAUUGCACUUGAUGAAUAUGUAGAGGGGUGGGAUUUGCUUCAUUAUUUUGCAUGAACACAGCUUGUGAUUUUCUUGGAUCUUAUAUCUAUUACUUUUCGUAACUUCUUCAUUUUCAUUAUGUUCUGCAUGUUAAUUUUUACUAUGACAACAUUAUCGAAGAAUCCAGGGUCAUAAGUGAUAAGUUAUAUGAUAAAAUAUUUUAUAAAAUCCAUUUUUUCAUAAAUUAAAAAAUGAUCCACCAUCUGCUUUUGUCAUAAUUAUUUUUUCUUAACACAUCUUCAAGUGAAUAUGCAUUGUGUGCACCCUGAGCCACAUGGAGUUAUUAAGCUGGUUCUUAUACCAUUUGUCAUGAGCUGAGGAUGUGUGACGCCAUAUUUGUGAAAUCUCUCAAAAGAAUUAGUUGCAAUGGGAGCUUUUUGUGCUAGCUUCAUAUUGGGAGAAUGACUUAUAGAUAUAUUUUCAGUGUUUUUAAUAUGAUAGCUGAUGUCUUGCAGACUGGGCAAGAAACAGACUUUGUCCUAGUUUCAUGCACAGGAUUAGGAAUAGAACCUAUUAGAAGGGAGCAAGUUCUUAAAGCUAAGAGGGUUAGUUCAUUUUUUUCUUUUGUUUCUUUUGCUACCUUAACAUAUUCUUUUAAUUUUUAUCUUUGUUCACAUGAUUUCCACCGGCUAGAGAAUAGUCAUUGGUUUUUAGAUUAUUUGCAAGUAUGGUUUUGUGCUUUUCACUUGUGCAAUUAUUUUUUUGAGCAAGAACAUAUAAUUUGUGUAUAA